rnacentral:rRNA from 1 species
UACGUAGGUGGCAAGCGUUGUCCGGAUUUACUGGGCGUAAAGGGCGUGCAGGCGGUCUGUUAAGUCUAGGGUGAAAGCUCCCGGCUCAACUGGGAGAGGUCCUUGGAUACUGGCGGACUUGAGGGAGGCAGAGGAAAGUGGAAUUCCCGGUGUAGUGGUGAUAUGCGUAGAUAUCGGGAGGAACACCAGUGGCGAAGGCGGCUUUCUGGGCCUUACCUGACGCUGAGACGCGAAAGCGUGGGGAGCGAACGGG